CGGGAAGGCCUGCACGCUCUGGGCGCGCCAGCCCCUCCGUGGGACACGCGGGGACGCCACUGCAGGAAGGAAACGCGGCUUCCCGGGGGCGGUCUCGGCGGAAGCCCGCAGGAGCAGAGGUGCCACCCGGCGGGGUGGGACGCGGAUCCCUCGCCCGCCCUUUCCGCUGCGCCCUUGCCCGCGCGCGCCAUCCCCGACUCCGGCCCUGGUUCCCAGCAGCCGGCGCUCCGCUUUCCUCUCCAUCCACGUUAUCUCAUCUUCCGCCAGUGGCGGGCCCGGUGGUAACCACUUGGCCUGUAUAAUUCCGUGAUCCCGUUGCUACAACCCUGUAAGUGCUUCCGUUGAGAGGGGAACACUUCUGGCCCUUUAUCAAGCAAAACUUCCCAGCAAGCACACCUGUUUAUUCAGACUCAAUGAUUUUCCAGGUCAUCUGUUGUGGUGGAUAAAGAUACGAUGGCCGGGCGUGGUGGCUCAAGCC